AUCACUAUGAGUUUAAGCUGUGUAGCGAGACCCUGUACCAAAUAAAUAAAGAUUAAAAAAAAUUUAAAAAAAAUUUCUUUCCUGCGACUACAGGCAGCUUAUGUAAAAAGUGGUCUCUCUGGCCUUGCUUUGCCCUUGAGGCUGCUGCUACCCUGGCUCCAGCAGCAGCCUGCAGGAAGGCCCACAGGCAGGGCUGCAGGUGCGGUGGGCAGAAGCCAUGUGAGCACAGCUUGGAUCUGAUG